rnacentral:lncRNA from 1 species
AUAAAAAUUAUUGUUCGCGAAUAUUCAAUUUGGAAUGCGAUUUUGUUAAUAAAAAAAAUACUUAUAACUUAUGCAAAACCCAAGAGAGGCAUUUAUAUUUAUUUCUUUUGCGUUCAUUUUCAAAUUCGCCGUGCAUAUAUUUUUGUGCAUGGCGCUUGAGAGGGCAUCACGUGACUAAAAACGACCAACCAACGACCUCGCUUCGGCCAUCUUGGCAUCUUCAUCUUGGCGACCUUGCCUUGCCGUGGAUUGUUUUUAGUUGUUUGUAUUAUUUGUGCUUUUUAAGAAUAUUUUUUUAAUUCGGAUACUUUUAUAAUAGCUUUAAUAGUAUUAAUAACAUAGUGCAUAAAAUGGUGUCCUGUUUUUAACGCAGUUGGAGUAGCAGAAACAAAUGUAGAUAAAAAAAUCUGCAGGAAUAACGUUUCAAUUAUGACAGAAGCUCAAAACAAAUGACUGUGAAUGAAAAGCCCUAUUAAAAGCUUUCCAGAAGAUCCUGCGAAGAAGGCAUGAAGUAUAGAUCAGAUUUGUUAAUAGAGGAGUAUGUUCAAAACACUUUUUAGAAAAAGAUAUUGACAGAACUUCACUUUCAUCUGUUCGUUUGAGAGACUGUGCUGUUCCAAUAGCUUAUGUCACACAGAAUCAGCUGAGAGAAGUGGUCUACAAAAAACCAGAAAGGAAACGGAAUAUGUGGGUACGAAAAGCAAAAGAAAGGUUUACAAAGCAAAUGUGACACAUUUUUUUAUAAUAUUUAGGAAUGUCAGCAAAUUACAUUAAAAAAUGUAUGUAAAGAUUUUUUGCAAUAAAAAUGUUUAUAUUUA